CCCAAGGAGAACACCCAGAGCUGCAGAAGAUAGACAGGAAGAGCAGCCUGUUGAAGGGGACAGAGGACUGAUCUCCCCUGAAGGGACAGGCAAACUCAUAAAGAGAGGAAGUGAAUCCACGUGGUCUGGAAUGGAAGGAAGACUGCACCCGCUUAGCCCAGCAGAAGUCUAGGAGGUUCCUGUUGAUGAUACAAAUCACUGUAGAAGCCAGGGAGGAUGGCGAGGAAACAGGAGAUGACAGUACAUGAUCUAUGCAGCUGCAGAAACACGUAAGAGGAUGACAGACCCAAAGAAAAGAAGACUUCCUGGAGAAAGUGACAGCUAAGCUAAGAACAUGAAGGUUGCACAGGACUUAGCUGACAGUGGGGCUGGGGAGGGUUAGGAGUUCCUCACAGAGGAAAUGGCACCGGGAAAGGCAAGAAGGAGCAUGACUCAUCUGGGAAAAAGGGAAGGAGUUUUUUAUGUCUGAAACGCAAAACAUAAGGGGGAAGAUGAAAGAUGAGAAAUAGUGAAAAAGUUUUUAUCUGAGCGCAAAGGGAUGACAUCAAAGGAUUUCAAUGGGGACAAUACUUAGCCAGAUAGACAUUUUUAAGCUACUUCUCUGGCAGCAGUGUGGAUGAUGGGUGGGGGAGAGGGGUAUGGAGAGACCUAGAAAGAUGCAGUUGCUAGGAGAUGAGGUUGUGGUGGCUUGAACUGGGAUGGUGGAGUGGGAAUGGAGGCAGCAGAUAGAUCCAAAAGAUAUUUUAGAAGUGGAAUGGGCAGGACUUGGUGAAUGGGUGGGUGUGGGAUUGAGAGAGAGGAAGGAAUCCAGCUUGGCUCCCACUUUGGGAUACUGGUGACAGGACAUUCGCUGGGCCAUGAUUUACCAUGGGGAGGGUCCCCAUGCAUACUCAAGGACAUCUUCCUACACGGUAGGCCAAGCCAAUCCAUCUUAUCUGCUCUGUUCCAGCUCUGACAUAUCUGCCACUGGAUGGAUAAACAAGUGGGCUUCUUUCACCAAUAUCUCUUGGCUUUGAGGGAGGCCACAGGAAACCUGCUUGGACCACCAGGUCUGUCUUGUGUCCCAGCACGGCUUCCCAGAAAGCCCUGCGGUGGCAGCAGAAAGGGAGGGCAGUAUGCGGAGGAAAGAGGCAUGAGGUACUUGCCCGGCUAUUAAUAUCACUAGAGUAGUAUUUUGUAUUUUGUUUCAGUGCUUAUCCCUGGGGAAUUAGGAUCUCUCCAUGAGGAAUCCCAGAGUCACAAAGGCAUGAAUGGUGAGGACUGGGUUCCUACACCUUGUUAUAAACUCCGUCGUCAUUAAGCUUUGUAACCUAACACUGGUGCAUGGUAACCCUAACACUGGCGCAUUGCCAGAAGAAACAAUGAAGGAAGAAAGGUAAAUACAGACAUUUUUAAUCCACAGCAGCAAAGUCUGCCCCAAUUUUCCCACUAAGUCCUAAGAAGGGCUCCUACCCAGGGCCAUUUGGGGCAGAGUCCUUCUUCAACCUUGCUGAGAAAGUUCUGACCACCCGGCUUCCCAGCAUCUCAGGAUUCCUGAUGAAGUCCCCAGGAUUCCUUGGACCCAAGCCAAGCUCUCACGGAAACUGGCACUUAGUCCAGCCACUAAAACCAGGAAGGCUGAGAGGGGAGAAGGAGCACUGGCUUGGGAGCCGGCCACCAUGCUGCACAACCGCAGAGGGCGCUGCUGACACCGUGUCUCUGUGAGCUCUAGAGCCCUUUGGUGCUGUGGGUGCUGGCAACCUGGCUGGAGAGUUGAGAAACCGUGUCCCACUGCUGAGUGCUGACCUGUCUGCGUCACCCCUGACGUACUUGACAAAACAUCGGGCCUUGCGUCCUUGGCUCCAGCACGCCGGGCUCCAUUCACGGGUCCCACACACCACUAACAUUCCAUGUCUAAAAUGCAACGGUGCUUCCCUAGGCUGGAAUUCUCAAUAUUUAUUUGUAAUGAGAGGAAAAGUCCAAAAGGAAAAAAAAAAUGUCAAAAUAUAAAAGCACUCUGCCCCCUUCCACAUGGUCAAAACUAAAGAGCCCAGGCUUGACAAAGGAGCCAGAAAAAACUCAUCUAAGGGCCAAGGAGGUUUCCUAAGAUACAAAAGCACUCUGCCCCCUUCCACAUGGUCAUGAACUCUGCCAGACCUGGGCUUAGAUGGCCACCCACCCUUCCCGUAGUUUAAUGACUGUGUCCUCUGCUGAGCCCGCCAGCCCCACCCUGCACCCUGCUUUCCCCACCACCAGGGCUCCUUCACGACAAGCCCCCGCAUCCUGGGCCCCUUUCCAGCCAGAGGGCUGCAGUGUUGACAUUUAUCUCUGGGGCACUUGAUGCAUAAUUAUAAGAGAAACAAAGGAAACAUAUUUGUAAUAAAUCCUGAACCAAAAAAAAAAAAAAAGAUGUCAUUAAAACGUUGGGCUCCUCCUGAGUGGCCUUGGCAGAAAGAAGCGAAGACAGGGAGAUAUUUGCUUGUUAGUUUCAGCAUCUUUCGUUUGCUCCCCACUCUUUCUCAUAGAGGAGGACCUAGACGUGGUAAUGCGCAGAGCCAGCGAGCCCCUCGUGGUGGAGUGAAUAACGUGAGCUCAGAGGAGAAGGAGAAUCUCCAUUUGCUCCAGGCUUGCAGGGAACAGGGGGACCAGCAAGAGGCGACAAAGAUGAAGAGCUAGACUCCAGGGCUCUUAACUUGAAGUCCAUCAACUUUCAAAUUAUCUGUAGAUCAUUUAGGGGGCCCUAGAACUUGGGGAAAAUUACAUCUUUAUUUCUACAAUUCUAACUGUUCCUUUAUGAAUGUGGGCCACAAACCACAAUUGUACAAGCAGUUCCUGUGAUGUCACAUGAAUAGAAAUCACACAUUGUCUUAUUACUUUAUAGUUGUCAGAGCUCCUUAAAAUAUUCCUUAGACUUCCCACCACUUUGAAAGUAUGGCAGUUAUUAGACCAACUGCUAAUUCUUGUUAUUUAAUAUGUUAAUAAAGAACCACUCAUAGUACUAACCAAAAAUGUAGUUAAAGUUUUUAAUAUUCUUAUUGCUGUAUUUUAACAUAAUUGACUUUCUUUGUAACCACUUGUAUCUUUUAGAAGUUUCUUCUGAGAAGGGCCUAUGGGCUCCAAAAAAUUGCCAAGGGACCUACACACAAGAGAGUUAAGAACCCCUGGUUUAGAAAGUGAAAGUAUGGUCUACCGACUUUACGGUUUUACAAACCAAAGCCCGUCCAACUUAUGUUUCAUCAAAUGAAGUCUUUGCCCAUCAAUUAAUUACCAGGGGCCGGGGGAGGAUGGUGUUUAAAUGUAGAUUCCCAGGACCUAUAUCCAAACUACAAAAAUAGAAUCUUGGUAUCGGAACCCGGGAAUCUUUGCUACCAAUGGCUCCCAGUAGGGCUGCCCCACGUGCUGCCGCCAGGUGGGUGUGGCCUCCUGGGCAGCACACCUUGGAGUGGCUGGACUUCCUUGGCCAGGUAGAACAGCCUGCACAGCUUCACCUGGGAACUCUGAUUCUCUAGGUGAUUUCCAAUCCUCACUAAAGCUUCUCAGCAAAGGAGAGAAGGGCUAAACCCCUUGGUUUGGGCUUUUGAGUUUGGGAAGUGUCUAUUUGUUUAUGAGGGCUGCCAUAACAAAUUAUAACAGACUAUGGUAACUUAGAAAAACAGCAAUGUAUUCUCUCACAGUUCUGGAGUCAGGAGUCCAAAAUCAAGCUGUCGGUUGGAUUGAUUCUUUCUGGGGGCUCUAAGAAGAUCUGUUCCAUGCUUCUCUCUGCGUGGUGGUUGCUGGCAAUUCUCUGCAUUCCUUAGCUGGAAGGAGCCAGUAAUCUAUCACAGUGGUCCUCCAGUGCAGUGCCAGCAGCAGCCUCACGUGGGAACUUGUUAGAAAUGCUAACUAUCAGGCCUCUGGUACCAGAACCCCUGCGAUGGGCCCAGUGAUCUGUGUUUUCACAAGUCCUCCAGGAAAUUCUGAUGCCUGUUCAAGCUUGAGGACCUUAAGAAGUAUGUGGGAGUCUUCCCUCCUGGUUGAAUCAUCCAUUCGUUCAACAAACUCUUAGAGGACAGUGCCCCAGCUGCUGAGGUUACAGCUGUGUUCAAGUCCUGGUCUCUACCCGCUUGGAUCUUACCCUGGAUGGAGAGAUCAGCACACAAGACUGCAUAACCCACGUGGAUUGGGUGGAACCACCUGUCCUUGGCAGUGAACAGUUGUGACCCAUAGAAAUGGCAAUUUCACGUGGCUUGUCCUAAACGAAGCACAAGGUUUCAAGGUGGGCCACAGAAGCCUCCCGGGGGUUGUGCUCACAUGUCCUGAGACGGCAGCAUGACUCAGGGAAGGCUCGAAUCAAAACUGGGGCAGAGAAGCCCAGACGAGGAAACAGCAUGUGCAGACGCCGGGAGGUGUGGGAGCCGAGGCGCUGGCUGGCCUGUGGGACAGAGGCCUCUGUGGCCUGCGGAGAGUCCGGGCUGCCCCCUCCCUGGCUCCUGCCUUUGCCACGGCCACCUCACAGUCACCUCAGUCUCAACCAUGGGAAGUUGCAUCUAGACGCCAGGCACCAAGAUACUGAAGCUCCAGCACCUGCCACUGGACUUUUAACGUCUCCUCUUCCCCCGUGAGCACCCGGCCGACUUCUCCAUUGGGCGAAAGAGCACUGUGCUGAGGGCUGCCAUAUUUAGGAGCCCACAAAUAUGUUUUCAUUCCUUUCAAAUCCAAAGGAAAAACAAAGGAACUUACAGGGUUGAAUAAAAUGUUUUAAU